rnacentral:rRNA from 1 species
CACAUGCAAGUCGAGGGGUAUAGUUCUUCGGAGCUAGAGACCGGCGCACGGGUGCGUAACGCGUAUGCAAUCUACCUUUUACAGAGGGAUAGCCCAGAGAAAUUUGGAUUAAUACCUCAUAGUAUGUGAGAAUCGCAUGGUUUUCACAUUAAAGUCACAACGGUAAAAGAUGAGCAUGCGUCCCAUUAGCUAGAUGGUAAGGUAACGGCUUACCAUGGCAACGAUGGGUAGGGGUCCUGAGAGGGAGAUCCCCCACACUGGUACUGAGACACGGACCAGACUCCUACGGGAGGCAGCAGUGAGGAAUAUUGGACAAUGGGCGCAAGCCUGAUCCAGCCAUGCCGCGUGCAGGAUGACGGUCCUAUGGAUUGUAAACUGCUUUUGUACAGGAAGAAACACUCCCUCGUGAGGGAGCUUGACGGUACUGUAAGAAUAAGGAUCGGCUAACUCCGUGCCAGCAGCCGCGGUAAUACGGAGGAUCCAAGCGUUAUCCGGAAUCAUUGGGUUUAAAGGGUCCGUAGGCGGUUUAAUAAGUCAGUGGUGAAAGCCCAUCGCUCAACGGUGGAACGGCCAUUGAUACUGUUAAACUUGAAUUAUUAGGAAGUAACUAGAAUAUGUAGUGUAGCGGUGAAAUGCUUAGAGAUUACAUGGAAUACCAAUUGCGAAGGCAGGUUACUACUAAUGGAUUGACGCUGAUGGACGAAAGCGUGGGUAGCGAACAGGAUUAGAUACCCUGGUAGUCCACGCCGUAAACGAUGGAUACUAGCUGUUGGGAGCAAUCUCAGUGGCUAAGCGAAAGUGAUAAGUAUCCCACCUGGGGAGUACGUUCGCAAGAAUGAAACUCAAAGGAAUUGACGGGGGCCCGCACAAGCGGUGGAGCAUGUGGUUUAAUUCGAUGAUACGCGAGGAACCUUACUCAGGCUUAAAUGUAGUUUGACCGAUUUGGAAACAGAUCUUUCGCA